GUAGAAUUAUAAUCUGGGAUUCCCGUUGUGACACGUAAAUAAGAGCACAGAAAAUCGGAUAUUGGAUCGAGAGAAGUGGAAUUUCUGAAUGUAAUUAUAAAAAGCUCCAGCAGACACAUGAGUCAGUCCUCAGCAGAUUUAGCUGCCUCUCCGCAGCCACCACUGACGUGCCCGCGCUGUAAGAACACAGGAGCUCGGAAGGUGAGCGGUCAGCUGGCCGUUUGCCGUAGCUGCUCGCCCUUUAUGAGGCGUGUGUACCAGUUCUGCUGGGCCUGCAGGAGAGAGUGGACUGGCCAGGCGGGAUCGGGGGUGUGCCGCCGCCCUGACUGCGCCCUCCGUGCUGCCCUGCUCUCCUCCGAGGUAAUCAGGAAUCAAAGCAGCUCCGUCAACGGCUGCCCAUUCUUCAGGGCCUGUCCUGGAUGCACGGCCCUCCUCACACACACCGGAGACGGCUGCCCCAACAUCGAAUGCCCACAAUGCGAAAAGAGUUUCUGCUUCCGCUGCCUGAAGACGGAAUGUGAUUAUGAUUAUGAUUAUGAUAGUGAUGAUGAUGAUGAUGAUUUUAAUGAUGAUGAUAUAGAUGUGUUAGAGGUUCCGUCACAUUAUACAUGUACUAUUGUGGAUAAUAGUCGGACGAUCAUAGAUUAGGGACUCGGGAGUAUAGGGCCCGGUGUUGAACAGUAGUGACUUUUGAUGUGAAUAUUUUUUGUCAUACUGACAUCAGUACUUUUACAAAAACUAUUAAUCAGUAGUAUACCUUUCUUUGUUAGAGAAAAUCACGGGAAAAAAAUAUAUUUAUUAAAAUAUUGUUUUAGUUGUU